UUCCUAGCAGACCCAACUAACCAGUGUUCCUGUAAGAGAUUUAACUGUGUGCGUGAGGCGGUGUGUGUGGACGGGGAGCGGGGUGUUAUGCAUCCGGGACAGACCCUCGUGGAUCACAGUCAGGAGGGGGUGUGUCUCACCACCCAGUGUAGCCACAGUCUGGAUCCCACCACGGGCUUCCACCUCCUCCGCACCGCCACCACCAACUGCUCUGCUCAGUGUCAACCGAACCAGAUAUACAUCCCUCCCAAAGACCAGAUGAUGUGCUGUGGUGUCUGCAGGAACAUCUCCUGUCUCUACCACAAUGACAACGGUACUACACUCCUCUACAAG